AGAGUUUGAUCCUGGCUCAGGAUGAACGCUAGCGGCAGGCUUAACACAUGCAAGUCGAGGGGCAGCGGGGAGUAGCAAUACUCCGCCGGCGACCGGCGCACGGGUGCGUAACGCGUAUGCAACCUACCUUUAACAGGGGCAUAACACUGAGAAAUUGGUACUAAUUCCCCAUAACAUUCGAGAAGGCAUCUUCUUGGGUUAAAAACUCCGGUGGUUAAAGAUGGGCAUGCGUUGUAUUAGCUAGUUGGUGAGGUAACGGCUCACCAAGGCAACGAUACAUAGGGGGACUGAGAGGUUAACCCCCCACAUUGGUACUGAGACACGGACCAAACUCCUACGGGAGGCAGCAGUGAGGAAUAUUGGUCAAUGGACGCAAGUCUGAACCAGCCAUGCCGCGUGCAGGAAGACAGCUCUAUGAGUUGUAAACUGCUUUUGUACUAGGGUAAACGCUUCUACGUGUAGGAGCCUGAAAGUAUAGUACGAAUAAGGAUCGGCUAACUCCGUGCCAGCAGCCGCGGUAAUACGGAGGAUCCAAGCGUUAUCCGGAUUUAUUGGGUUUAAAGGGUGCGUAGGCGGUUUGAUAAGUUAGAGGUGAAAUUUCGGGGCUCAACCCUGAACGUGCCUCUAAUACUGUUGAGCUAGAGAGUAGUUGCGGUAGGCGGAAUGUAUGGUGUAGCGGUGAAAUGCUUAGAGAUCAUACAGAACACCGAUUGCGAAGGCAGCUUACCAAACUAUAUCUGACGUUGAGGCACGAAAGCGUGGGGAGCAAACAGGAUUAGAUACCCUGGUAGUCCACGCAGUAAACGAUGAUAACUCGUUGUCGGCGAUACACAGUCGGUGACUAAGCGAAAGCGAUAAGUUAUCCACCUGGGGAGUACGUUCGCAAGAAUGAAACUCAAAGGAAUUGACGGGGGCCCGCACAAGCGGAGGAACAUGUG
rnacentral:rRNA from 1 species